GCCACCCAUGUAGGAUCCAUUAAUGAUUUUAGGAUUUCACACAGCUCAGAGUUCCUAUGCAUGUGCAAUAUUUCAUCAAGCACAUUUUUUAUUCUGCAAAACUCAAUAUGAUUGGCCUCCCUCAGUUCGAGUAGCUUCACAAGCUUCGCAGGCGAAAUGCAAGUAAAUUCCGGGAUUGAGCAUGUUACAUUGCUCAUAAGUUUGCAUGUUGCUUGAAUUGUG
rnacentral:misc_RNA from 1 species